GCCCGGAUGGUUUAGUGGUAUAAUUCUCGCUUAGGGUACACCCAAGCAAUUUGCGAGAGGUCCCCGGUUCGAUCCCGGGUUCGGGCC
rnacentral:tRNA from 1 species